rnacentral:rRNA from 1 species
UACAGAGGGUGCGAGCGUUGUCCGGAAUUACUGGGCGUAAAGGGCGCGUAGGCGGCUUGAUAAGUAGGAGGUGAAAUUCCAUGGCUCAACCAUGGAUCGGCCUUCUAGACUGUCAGGCUUGAGCACGGUAGAGGCAGAUGGAAUUCCCGGUGUAGCGGUGGAAUGCGUAGAGAUCGGGAAGAACACCAGUGGCGAAGGCGGUCUGCUGGGCCGUUGCUGACGCUGAGGCGCGACAGCCAGGGGAGCAAACGGG